CCUACGGGUGGCAGCAGUGAGGAAUAUUGGUCAAUGGGCGUAAGCCUGAACCAGCCAAGUCGCGUGAGGGAUGAAGGUUCUAUGGAUCGUAAACCUCUUUUAUCAGGGAAUAAAGUGCGGGACGUGUCCAGUUUUGUAUGUACCUUAUGUAUAAGGAAAGGACAACCACGUGCCAGCAGCCUCGGUAAUACGGAGGAUCAGAGGGUUAUCCGGAUUUACUGGGUUUAACGGGUGCGUGGGGGGCAUUUUAAGUCAGUGGUGAAAGUCUGUGGCUCAACCCUAGAAUUGCCGUUGAAACUGGGAUUCUUGAGUGUGUGAGAGGCAGGCGGAAUGCGUGGUGUAGCAGUGAAAUGCUUAGAUAUCACGCAGAACACCGAUUGCGAAGGCGGCAUGCCGGGCCAUGACUGACGCUGAUGUACGAAAGCGUGGGGAUCAAACAGGAUUAGAUACCCGAGUAGUC
rnacentral:rRNA from 1 species